AGUGAACGCUGGCGGUAGGCCUAAUACAUGCAAGUCGAACGGCAGCACAGUAAGAGUUUGCUUUUACGGGUGGCGAGUGGCGGAUGGGUGAGGCAUACAUAGGCAUCCUCUUUUUCGUGGGGAACUUCGAGGGACAAUUGCUAUUACCGCGUAAUAGAUUUAACGGCUUAAGUCAGGGGUGAUCGGCCCUUUUGCUGUUACAUAUAGCUGUAUCCGAGUCGCAUUAGCGAGUUGGUAAGGUAAAGGCUCACCAAGGCCACGAUGCGUAGCUGAUCUGAGAGGAUGAUCAGCCACACUGGAACUGAGACACGGUCCAGACUCCUACGGGAGGCAGCAGUGGGGAAUAUUGGACAAUGGGCGCAAGCCUGAUCCAGCCAUACCGCGUGAGUGAAGAAGGCCUUCGGGUUGUAAAGCCCUUUUAUUAGGAAAGAAAAACAGCAGGUUAAUACCCCGCUGUUCUGACGGUACCCAAAGAAUAAGCACCGGCUAACUUCGUG
rnacentral:rRNA from 1 species